CCAGACGGUCGGACGACCGCUGUUGCCUUCGGGUAAUGGAGGAAAGUCCGGGCUCCACGGGAGAACGGUGCCGGCUAACGGCCGGCGAGGGUGACCUCAGGGAAAGUGCCACAGAAAACAGACCGCCUUCCGGGUCCGUUCGCGGGCUGGAGGUAAGGGUGAAACGGUGCGGUAAGAGCGCACCGCGCUUCCGGUAACGGCGGCGGCAGGGCAAACCCCACCGGGAGCAAGACCGAAUAGGGAUGACGGGCAGCGCGGCGACGCGGCUGCCAGGGGCUCUCCCGCCCUGUCGUCCGGGUUGGUCGCGUGAGGCACGUUGCGAGACGUGUCCCAGAGGAAUGGUCGUCACGGCCCCGUUUUCGGGCCGACAGAACCCGGCUUACAGACCGUCUGGCAGA
rnacentral:RNase_P_RNA from 1 species